rnacentral:rRNA from 1 species
AUUGAACGCUGGCGGCAGGCCUAACACAUGCAAGUCGAGCGAGUGGCGGACGGGUGAGUAAUGUAUGGGACACUGCCUGAUGGCGGGGGAUAACUACUGGAAACGGUAGCUAAUACCGCAUACCAUCAGAUGUGCCCAUAUGGGAUUAGCUUGUUGGUGGGGUAACGGCUCACCAAGGCGACGAUCCCUAGCUGGUCUGAGAGGAUGACCAGCAACACUGGAACUGAGACACGGCCCAGACGCGUACGGGAGGCAGCAGUGGGUAAUAUUGCACAAUGGGCGCAAGCCUGAUGCAGCCAGGCCGCGUGUAUGAAGAAGGCCUUCGGGUUGUAAAGUACUUUCAGUGGGGAGGCGUUACCGGCAGAAGAAGCACCGGCUAACUCCGUGCCAGCAGCCGCGGUAAUAC